UACGGAGGGUGCAAGCGUUAUCCGGAUUCACUGGGUUUAAAGGGUGUGUAGGCGGAUAUUUAAGUCAGGGGUGAAAUCCCAGAGCUCAACUCUGGAACUGCCUUUGAUACUGGGUAUCUCGAGUAUGGAAGAGGUGAGUGGAAUUCCGAGUGUAGAGGUGAAAUUCGUAGAUAUUCGGAGGAACACCAGUGGCGAAGGCGGCUCACUGGUCCAUUACUGACGCUGAGGUGCGAAAGCGUGGGGAGCAAACAGG
rnacentral:rRNA from 1 species